AAACGGUCAAAAGCAACUCCAGGAAAUGCAAGCCAGGCAGCGAGCGCCCAACACUUUUCCGGGUAUUCGUGUCACGACAGCUUCCGGGGGAAGAAGGGAUUUAAAAAAUCCUUAUUUCUAGAACUUCUCUGGCCACAAACAACAGCCAGUACCAAAUACAGCUUUUCAAAUGUCCAGCAUGAAAUAAUUCCUAAGAUCAUGAUUGUGGAAGCAGAAAACCUGUUAAUCUUCUCAUCAUAUGUCUUGGAGCCCAGCAUGCUGACUAUGAAAUAGUAGGACUUGUGUCAACUUUAGUUGCUGCAUUCAUCAACUUGGAAAGCCUGUAGCCUUGGACAAAGGUGUCAUUUGCACAGGAAAAUGUGAAGGAAUUCAAGAGGUGCUGGGCACCAGUCACCAAGGAGAAAGGACAAUAAAGGGAUGUGUAAAGUACUCAAGAG